CAGGUUGAUCCAAUGGCACACACAGUCAUCAUGGGAAUUGUGAAUGAGAACCAUCACUGGAUGUUGGUGAAAACCCUCUUCUUGGAUCCACUUGGAGAAGGGAAAGGCAAAAUGAAGGUGUGCCUGCAGUCUACAAGAGCCUUUAUGAGGAUGAAAGGCUGCAAGGUGUCAAGGUGGACAUGCAGUACCCUCCCCCAUAAUCGUCAACAAGACAGCACAUCCUGUGGUGUCCUGGCCUUAAAAGUGAGUGUGAAAUGCAUUUACCCAAACAUUACUCUCAAAUUCAAAUUCAGUAGCAAUUAGACUGAAUAUCUUGACUUGCUUUUAUACAUCUUGAUCAAAGAUGUAUUGAAUUGUGUAAAACUACACAUAUACAACAUGUAAUUCUUUAAAUCUGUUGGGUAAUUUGUCUGUAUUCUGUCAUAAAAUGCACCCCACCCAAAAAUAUGUU